rnacentral:rRNA from 1 species
ACGGAAGGCAGCAGUUGGGAAUAUUGCACAAUGGGGGAAACCCUGAUGCAGCGACGCCGCGUGAGGGAAGAAGGUUUUCGGAUUGUAAACCUCUGUCCUAGGGGACGAAAAAAUGACGGUACCCUGGGAGGAAGCUACGGCUAACUACGUGCCAGCAGCCGCGGUAAAACGUAGGUGGCAAGCGUUGUCCGGAAUUACUGGGUGUAAAGGGAGCGCAGGAGGGCUUGCAAGUCGAAUGUGAAAUUUAUGGGCUCAACCCAUAAACUGCGUUCGAUACUGUAGGUCUUGAGUGAUGUAGAGGUAGGCGGAAUUCCCGGUGUAGCGGUGGAAUGCGUAGAUAUCGGGAGGAACACCAGUGGCGAAGGCGGCCUACUGGGCAUUUACUGACUCUGAGGCUCGAAAGCGUGGGUAGCAAACAGGAUUAGAUACCCUGGUA